rnacentral:rRNA from 1 species
UAAUUUAUUCCCGAUUUGAGGGGAGCUAUAAUCUUAUAAAUUUUAAUGUGGAAGAAUUAUUUCAAAUAAGUUUAUAGAUAUUAGAUGUUAUUCGAACUUUAAUAUAUCUGGUUUUUUAAGAAAUGAAUUUAAUUUAUUCAUUAAUAUAUAAUUUAAUUAUUAUUUAUUAUGUUAUUAUUAAUGAAAAAUGUUUUUAGGGAUUAGCUUGAAAACAUACUAUUUAAUAAGGUGUUUUAUUAAUAUUUAAUUGGAUUAAAAGUUUCUAUUUAUAGAUAGUGUGUUAUUACAAAUUAUUGAUUUUAUAAAAUUUUUAUUUUAUUUAAGUUUAUAUUAGAAUAUUUAAUUUAAUUUUAAAAUUAAAGAAAUAAUGGUUAAAUUAGUAUAAUGAAUUAAUGUAAGAAUUUUUUUAUAUUUUAGUUAUAAUGAAAGGAAUUCGGCAAAAUUUAUUUUCGCCUGUUUAUUAAAAACAUGGUUUUUUGAUUAUAAUUUAAAAUUUGACCUGCCCAAUGAGGAUUGAAUGGCUGCAGUAUUUUGACUGUACUAAGGUAGCAUAAUAAUUAGUCUUUUAAAUGAAGACUGGAAUGAAUGGUUGGACGAAAAAUAAUCUGUCUUUAUUAUAAGGAAUUAUAAUUUUAUUUUUAAGUUAAAAAGCUUAAAUAUAAUUAAAAGACGAGAAGACCCUAUAGAACUUUAUAUAAGAUUGAUUAAGAAUUAGUGUGAAUUUUUGUUUUUAAUUAAUUGUAUUAUUUGAUUGGGGCGAUUGGAAAAUUGAAUGAACUUUUUUGUAAUUUGAACAUAAAUAAAUGACUAAAUGAUCCAAUUAUUUUGAUUAUUUGAAUAAGUUACCUUAGGGAUAACAGCAUAAUCUUUUUUAAUAGUUCGUAUUGAAAGAAGGGGUUAUGACCUCGAUGUUGGAUUAAAAUUAAUUAUAGGUGAAGAAGCUUAUAAAUUAGGUCUGUUCGACCU